AUUGAACGCUGGCGGCAUGCCUUACACAUGCAAGUCGAACGGCAGCACGGGGGCAACCCUGGUGGCGAGUGGCGAACGGGUGAGUAAUAUAUCGGAACGUACCCGGAAAUGGGGGAUAACGUAGCGAAAGUUACGCUAAUACCGCAUAUUCUGUGAGCAGGAAAGAGGGGGAUCGCAAGACCUCUUGCUUUAGGAGCGGCCGAUGUCGGAUUAGCUAGUUGGUGAGGUAAAGGCUCACCAAGGCGACGAUCCGUAGCGGGUCUGAGAGGAUGAUCCGCCACACUGGGACUGAGACACGGCCCAGACUCCUACGGGAGGCAGCAGUGGGGGAAUUUUUGGACAAUGGGCGCAAGCCUGAUCCAGCCAUGCCGCGUGAGUGAAGAAGG
rnacentral:rRNA from 1 species